UGGGCCAUACAAUCAGAUCAACACCGGUCGGAAACCAAUCUACGACGCUGCCUCGCCCUGUCCGCCUCGCCACAAAUCGGUAGAAGAGGAGGUGGACGACGAGGACGCGGUGUAAGAGACGAGAGCCAUCGCCUCCUGCUGGACCAGCACCAGCAGACUUCCUCGCCGACUAUCAUACGGGGACAGCGGCCGGGGCAAGUUCAGGGGAGGCGCUUCCUGGGCUGGUCGGCUGACAUCCCGCGGGGGGCGGCCGGCAGCGGCGACCUGAGCGAGAGUCAUCGGGCAAGGAAGCUGUAAGGAGGACGUCCAGCCUCAGCCUUCAUGUUAGUUAUUGUAGCCUGUAUGUAUAUCUCCGUCAGAUCGAUCAAUAUUUUGAUAGGAAUCCGUCCCAGUGAUGGUUCGUUCCAUCCCAAUGUUUUGUUGUGACACUUUUACAAGAUUUAUGUGUGGAGAAAAGAAAGUAAGGCCACCAUGGCAUCCGUUAGUUACCGGAAAAAAAAAUCAGAGAACCGCAGGAAAAGAGGAGCUGCAGAUUCAGAGUCUACGUGAUAUCUCUGCCAGAUUGCUACAAUGUUCGUGCAGGUACGCUUCUUGCUCCUUUUUGAGAGUAGCAGGUAAUGCAAUCGCAGGUUUGUAAUGCUCAAUUCCUACCGUGUCUUCACUAUCAUCUCAGUGGAGAUCGAAAAUCGAAACCAUGUCAUUCAUGUAGUACUGAAAUUUCAAAUCCCUCCCUCCGUCAUUCAUGUCUGUUUGUACCCACAAUCCCACAUGCUCCUGCCAGAUGGGCUCCAUGGCACUCCAUCAAUAUUAUAUUGGAACGUUGUGUUGAUGGAUUCAUAGAUGGUUUGUGAUAUAAUCAUAUAAAGAGUCUCGAAUUACUUUUCGAGCCCUAUGAUCUCUUCUGUACAGGGUCGUCCUCAGCCUAAUGUUAUUCUUAUCAUUAUAUAUGCUCUGUGAUACAGGUGUUGAGGCAGGGAAAAAGCAGCAAGAGAGGUAUUGGCACUUCAGAAAAGGGUGUUGACUGUUCUGAAUUAAGCCAAACAUGAAAUCUGAUUGAGGUUCUCUGAUGCAAGGGCUCUGGGUCAUCAGCUUCGGCAAGUGGAGGUACAAGUUCGGGCAUGACGAGCUUUAUUUCAUAAAAACGUGACUUUGAUGUUUGAAUAUUCCUUCUAAUCUUUUUAAUGAUAACGAGGCUCUCUUGAUAGAAUGUGAAUUUUUCCCUUUGUUUUGUUAGCUUUUAUGCUUUAUUGUGUUCUUCGUCAAACACAAAUCGCUACCGACAGGGACUGGCAUGGACGCCAUGGACUUUCACAACACGGCCUUCAGCACAGUUCCAACGUGCUCUGCUCCUUGGACUCUGUCUGUCUGCACAACGUCAACAACAGCCUGAUGGUGCCUCUGGGCCAUGGCAUGGCAGGACAUGCAGGUCCCGAUUCAAUGGAGACAUGUGGAGACGCUGGCAUGUCGCACGCUCGCUGGACACACAAGAGCAGCCACAUGGUGACUGUCUUCACGGGAUCACGGGAGUUUUCUUUCUACCAAGAGCGCCAGCUGCCUGAAGGGACAAAACUAUGGAGGGGCGGUGAAGAGAUGAUGUUGAAGUACUACGUGUCGUGAGUUCCAGCGGCACAAACAUGCUAGCCACGUCUAGCUCUGUCUCGGUGCUUCCACUAUUCAUUAAUUUUAGUUCGUGCAUGAUAUCUACCAUGUUCUUUGAAUUACUAGCAAAUUUGCCCGUGCUUUGCAACGGGAGAAAAACUAUUAGAUUUUUUGGAGGGUAAAACUAUUAGAUUAUACAGGUGUGAUAGAAUAAUAAAAAAGUCUGAAUCAAAUGCCCGGAUGAGAUAAGGACUUUUAAAAUGUCAUUUUCACAAA